GUCAUCACUGAAUUCUGAUGGGCUACCUGGAACUGGCUUAGGGUGGGAUUACAUACGCCUCCUGCCACAUCGGAUUUCCUUCUAUUUUGUCAGGGGUGGCAUCAUCCAGUGAGUAAAUCUGUUAGUGAUCUCCCUCGCAUAACCUAGGAAUUCUCUCAGGAUCCAUUUUUCCAGUAGUUUUGAGAAAGCGACCAACAACAGCAAAGAGAGUAGUUCUUCCAUUCCAAGAGCAGCCAUCUUGCUUAACUGACAAACUAGAGAGAACUGCAAGGACUCAGUACAUCCCUGGCACAGUCCAUUCUCUCUCACAGCAUAUUGUAUGAGACUGUGUGAGUGCUGCUUCCACGCUACACUAAAAACCCAUGGUCCCUGCAUUAUUUGAGCAACUGACAAGCUUCUGAAGUUCAGGUUCGCGAACGCUGAGAGCAGCACCCAGUGGAUUUGUGGCAGGGACAGCGUUUCACUAUGUUGUCCAGGCUUGUUUCAAACUCCUGGGCUCAAGCCAUCAGCCUGCCUCAACCUCCUAAAGUGCUGACAUUACAGGCAUGAGCCACUGUGCCCAGCCAGGAAAUGUUUCAAAUACUUGAGAUUUUUGAUGAACCAAGCUGGCUGGUGUCGCCUCAGUUUGUCUAAAUUACCAAGGACCGCUGGAAUUUCCCUGGGAAUAUGUUUCGGGAAAGGUCAGAAACUCUUCAGUCGUCUUCACGCUUCCACUCAGUAGCAACGUUUUUGCACACUCAUUGACUAUCAACUGGUUGUCUAUGACUCAAAUUACAUAAUGAAUCCAGCACAUAAAUUAUUUACUCAGAUUUAAUGCCAGCAACUGUUAUCUUUGUAUUUUUUUCCCCUCUGCCAGCUAAUCUGGCUCAUUUCAUUGGAAUUUUGGUCAUGCCCAUUCUCCUUCUGCACUAAAUUAACUCCAUAACGUAGUAUAAACAGAACAAGCUUGUGUGUGAUAUGCUUAACUGUUAAUUUACCUAAUUAAACUAAUUCAAUUAAAUCAUUUACAUCUUUUUGGUAACAUGCCAGUUGAUACCACAGCAGAAGUGGGAUGUUUCAGAAGAUGAUUGUUCAGCAAAUGAAUGGAAAAAAAAAUAAAAGGAAAACAAAAUGAGACAACCGUCCAAAUCUCUUGGCUUGAAAAUUAAAUGAUACUGAAAAAAUGCAGCUUUCACGGGGCACUGUGAUUAGAUAUUUUUCUGAAAUCAAUUUUCUCUACAAAUUGGUAUUUUAACAGAGUGAUCACAAUCUAUUGUACAAAAUAUUUUAAACACUAUUUGUACAUUCACAUAUUUGGUAUGUUUAAGUAAAGUGUGCUUGUUCCC
rnacentral:lncRNA from 1 species